GAGGGUGUAGCUCAUUGGUAGGGUGUGUGCUCAGCAUGCACGAGGUCCUGGGUUCAAUCCCCAGUACCUCUG
rnacentral:tRNA from 1 species